CGUACACUCCUGCGGGAGGCAGCAGUGGGGAAUAUUGCACAAUGGGCGCAAGCCUGAUGCAGCCAUGCCGCGUGUAUGAAGAAGGCCUUCGGGUUGUAAAGUACUUUCAGCGGGGAGGAAGGCAAUACGGUUAAUAACCGUGUUGAUUGACGUUACCCGCAGAAGAAGCACCGGCUAACUCCGUGCCAGCAGCCGCGGUAAUACGGAGGGUGCAAGCGUUAAUCGGAAUUACUGGGCGUAAAGCGCACGCAGGCGGUCUGUCAAGUCGGAUGUGAAAUCCCCGGGCUCAACCUGGGAACUGCAUUCGAAACUGGCAGGCUUGAGUCUUGUAGAGGGGGGUAGAAUUCCAGGUGUAGCGGUGAAAUGCGUAGAGAUCUGGAGGAAUACCGGUGGCGAAGGCGGCCCCCUGGACAAAGACUGACGCUCAGGUGCGAAAGCGUGGGGAGCAAACAGGAUUAGAAACCCUUGUAGUCC
rnacentral:rRNA from 1 species